AGGUGAUUGACGGUUUCCCUUGGGUGAGCGAUUUCGGUGUGUAUUGUGUUAAAUUGAAGACGCAGCGGGAAUAUCGAGGUGGUGGGAAAGACCACAUGCAGUGAGGAUGAUUGCAGGUGGUGGGAAAGACCACAUGCAAUGGGAAUACAUGUAGGUUGUGGGAAAGACCACAGAGGGAUAUUGAGCGGAUAAUCCUGCAGGUCAGGCAAAUCGUGACGGAGGUCGAGCUAGUUAAGGGUUGCAGCAUUAUUUUAUUCCCUGCUAUUGUGAGGUUGUUAUGCUCAUCUGAGCUUACAUUAUAUUUGGAGAGAGUGUACUGUAAUAAAUAAUCUCCUUGAGAAUUUGGUUAUGUAAUAUUGAGUGGUGUGAGGUGUGGGAUUAUGAAAAAAAUUC